ACAUGACUAAUCUUAUGGAUGGUACAGUGACUCGGCUCGAUAAGACUGCCUCCCUUAUGUCAACAACAAGUUCUUCCCAUACUUGUUCGAAAGUUCGAAAAGCAUGGACAAUGCUAUGUGCAAACGUAGACGAAACAACUUGAACUUCAUCGCGGAAAAUGAGACCAGACAGAAGGUGACAGUAUAGAGAUUGUUGAAAAUCAGGAGCAAAUAUUACUUCACCAGGACUACAAACUGGGGUAGACCAAUCCUUCAUUAUCUUCUUGUAUUGUGGACUUGUAAACACAUUAGUAGUGCCUGUUGAAGCUGCCAAAACCCCCUUUAGUUUUAAACUGCUUGCUGCUGUAAAAAAAAUGCAUAGCCUUCCCUUUCUCUAUUGGAAAUUCUCUGAAAGAAAUGAACAGAACUAUUAUUAGGGAACUAUUUACCUUUUAAUAUGAUGUAUUUAUGACCAAAAAAAAACUAAAACAACUUCAUGAACUAACAAGAAAAUUACCUGUUCCUAAAGGCAAAAGAAGUCUUGAAUGUCUGCAUGGCGGAAUUCAUCAAUUCAUCAUUGAAAGGUACAAACUUUGGCUUCCCUUGAGUAGUACCAGAACUGCAAAUCAACCAUUAUAUUUCACAAGUGCAAAUCAACCAUUAUAUUUCCUCUUUGAACAUAACAAUAAUAUACAAUAUCCACUGCACUCUCACAAGUGGAAUCUAAGUAGAGUACAACGUACACAAACUUUAUCGCUCAGACCAUCUCCAACCCACCUCUAUUUUACUCUCCAAUCUCUAUUCUGAAGAGCAAAAUGAGCACUUCAACCCAGCUCUAAAUCAUCCUCUAUUCUCCAUUUAUGGAAAGGUGACUAUUCACAGUCUCUAAUUCAUUUUUCAUUAUUUUAUUAUUAUUUUCUGUUACUUUCUAAUUAACAUAUAUUUUACAUAUAAUUCCAAUAAAUAAAUAUUCAAUAUUUAUAAUUCUUGUUUAAAUGUAAUAUAAUAUUCAUAAAAGUAUUUUAAUGUAUACUACUUUAAUUUCAAAUUAAUAGUAAUUUGAUUUUUUCUAAUUUUCAUCACUAAUAAUAAAAAAGUUAUUAAUAGUUUUCAUUAUAAAUAAUAUACAAAAUUAGAAUGGCAAGGUCAAUAAUUUAAUUUAAAAAUACAAUACAUAGUAUGAUAAAUUAAAUAUAAGAUAACAACACAAUACAUAACAUAAUAAUUUAAAUACAAGAUAACAAUACAAUAUAAUACAUAACAUAAUAAUUUAAAUACUGAUAAAAAAUAAUACAUAACAUAAUAAUUAAUUGAUCACAACAAUAAUUUAGUAAUCCGGUAGAUCAUUUCCAGAUCUCGCACUAUUCAAAAAAUAUUUUCAGCCACACCACGCUUUGAUGAUGCAAUAUUUCGCUAUUGUUAUCGAAUGUACCACAAUUUAUUUCUUCGUAUCAUUAAUGCAAUUAAAGAUCACGAUACAUACUUCGAAAAACAAAUUUGUCUACUUUGCAAAAAAUCUUGCUAGCAGUAUUGUGCCUCCCACCCAUUAUGUUAUUCAAAGAAAAGAAUACAACAUGGGUUAUUACUUAACUGAUGAUGUAUAUACUAAAUCGUCUACAACUGUUCAAAUUAUUCGUGUUUCUCAUUCUCAAAAGAAGAAAUAUUUCGCGAUAAAAGAAGAAUCAUGUUGAAAAUAUAUUGAACGUGCAUUCGUAUUUUUGCAAUCACGUUUUACAAUUAUUAUAGGAGAGUCACGUUUUUGAAGAAAUGAAGUGUUAUAUGAUAAUAAUGACUACAUGCAUUAUACUGCACAACAUGAUAAUUAAGGAUAAACAUGAUCUCAAUGCACCAAUUCAAGAUGUUGUAGAGGCUCCAACCCCAACUAUAGAAAUGGUGAUAGAUGAAAAUCUCAGGCCUGAACAAUUUUUAACUAGACAUAAAAAAUAAAGGAUAAAAUUCUCAUUUUGAACCCUGUAAUGCAUUAAUAGAGCAUUUAUAGGAGACACAUACCGAUUUUGAAAAUUAAGUGUUUAUGUAAUUGUAUGUCACUUUUAUUUAAAUUUAUCCCCUAAUUUAUGUAUUACAUUAUAUUUUCUUACAGUUUAUGUUAUAUAAAAAUUUAGAAUAAAAUAUAAUUUUAUAUCACACUUAAAAUUAUAUAAAGUAAUUAUUUGAAAUAAAAUUAAAGGAUUAAUAUCAUAAAAUAAGAAAAUAAGAAUCAAAUAGAAAUAAUAAUAUAAUAUUUGAGCAGAGAGAAAAAAUUUUCUUUUUAGAGAGUAAAAUAAUGAAUUAGAUUGGAGUUGGUUGUGAGAAAAAAAUAGAGAACUCCAUAUUUAGAAAGUAAAAUAGAGGAUUGAGUUGGAAAUGCUCACAUUAGUUUCCGAUUGACAAUCAAUUCAAGGAAAAACACAUCAAAGCAAAUUGAAAAAGAUUAACUAUAGUGAAGGGAUCAUGACAUAAUACCGUAGAAAGCAUGAUAAUAACAGAAAUCGACAUACAAAAAACAUCAACCCAAAAAAAAGAAGAGAAUUUUUUGCUUACCUCAAGGAGAUGGCUUGAACGGGCUUUCCAGUAAGAAUAGGUGAAAUAUCACCAUCAACAAUUCUUUGAAUAUAAGGAUCAAAAUCACUGUGACUGACAAUGGGGACACAAGCCUUGAAAGUCUCAACAUCAGUUCUGCCAUUCAUACCCCAUUGCUUCAAAUACUCUGUUCCCCCAUUUUGCUGCAGAAUUUUCCCAAGUGUCUCUUCUUGAAUCCUCCCAGCAUUUUUUGUUAUCACCUCAAAAUCCUCAAUCACUUGUUCUGCAUCAAAUUUCUUCUCAAUAUUUUCCAUCAUCUUAGACUUCAACUUUAAGCAAUAACAGUCAAGUAAAAGCAGUCAAUAAUCCUCAAUUUGAGAAAUGAGGUUGGGCGAUUAAGAAGAAUUUAAGCAACUCUAAAGUUAUUACUGACUUCAAUGCAACUUACCUCAUAAAGGACAAUUUUUAAAAAAAUAGAAUUGCUAAGUGACAUGAAACUUUUUUGGCACCGAUGUGGCAUGACACUGCGAAAUGACAGAAUUAGCCUUUUGGAUGUUGGUUCCAAAACCACCUAAUUUUCUCCGAAAAAUAUAAGAAAUCACUUUUGACAUUUUUUUAAAAUUUAUUUUACUCUUUCAAUAUCUUUACUUUCUUUUUUACUUAAUUCAUUUUAUAUCUCAUUUUACAAAAUGUUUCUUAAUUUUUUAUGUUUGGUUGACUUAAAUAUUUUAGAAAAUAUUUCUCAAAUAAACUUAUUUUCCUCAAAUAAUAAUCUUUUCCUAACCUCACUUCCUUCUCCGACCCUCCCUAUUAAAAAUAAAAAAAUUAAUUUUUUUAAGAAAAUCAAUUUAUUUUGUUACUACACCCAAACUAGCCCCCUCCACACCCACACACCCGCACGAUGGUCUAUUAAAAGGGACAAAGAAGUUAGGUAAUUAGGUGAAAGUCAUUCGAGUUUUAGAUAUUGAGUAGAAGUGACAUAUAAAUAAAUAAUAUUAAUUAAAUUAAAAAGUUUUUUAAAAAGGCCCAAACUUUUAAAUUUUACACUUUGCACCUACAUUCUUUACCUUAAAAUAACUUUAUCAUAAUAGACCAGAAAGACGCUCUUUCUCAACUACAUCAACUUCCCACUGAUCCUCUUCAAAUGCACGUAUAUUUGUCAAUCCUGCUUUUUUCUUCUUCUUCCUCUUCUUCUUCUUCUUCUUCUUCAUCUUUCUUUUAUAGAGAAUAUCUAUCAAGAAAAAUUUAUGAAAAAGAAUAUCAAUAUAUAUAUAUAUAUAUAAAGAGCGCCAUUGAUAAGUAUGAAAAUCACUUUGUGUCCAUUCUUAAGUUGCGUUUUGUGAACCCAAAGUGAUUGUUUCAGUCAACAAUUUUCGUAUCGAAGUUGAUGUCCAAUAAUUGUCUUUAGUUGUAUGGUGAUAAUAGAAGUUGUCCCAACAACUAGUGCAGUUGUUCAACAAUUGUGUUCUAUUGUUGGUCAAUUGAAGAGUUCUAAUAAAAUCUAAAACUAUUAUCUUUUUUACUGUUGUUGAUAGUUAUGAAACAACGAAAUAAGUGUAAAAAUAAGUAUUAAUAUUCUUUAGCAAUUUCAAAGUUAAUUGAUGAAUGUCUCACUAGUUGAAAUAUUGUGUGAUGUCUUCAGGUAUUGUGUCCAUCUAUGGAACAUCAAAUAAUAAUAGCAAUUGAUUACAUUGUGAAUGGGUAGAGAUUCCUAUUCGUUACACUUGGCGAACAAAGGUUCGAGAAACAAUAACAAUAAAGAUAAGUGAGAAUGUUACAUAUAACGAGUUGAUUUCUAGGUUUGAGUUAAAUUGUGAUAAAGAAGAUCUCUCUAUUACUUAUAUGCUUGGCUUCAUUGAUAAGCAAAAAGGACCUCCUUCUAGGAUAACGGAUGAUCGUGAUUACGAUUUUUUUGGAUGAUCGAUGUAGGCUCAUUUUAAGAAUAUAUGUGGUUGAAAAGAUAACAGAGACAGCAAAUUCAGUUGCAAAUGAUGAAGAGCGUCAUAUUACUAUUGAUAUUCCUAUAAACGAGGACGUUUUUCUAUAUUUCAUACUAACAGGAGGCAGCCACAUGAAUGAUGAAGGCACGAGUUUUUAUAAAGGUUAAAUAUUCAAGAACAAGCGAGAAUUAACUAAGUUAUUGAAGCUUGCUUCUUUAAAGAAAUUAAAGAUCAAAGGCUCAAAUCAGUAAAGAGUUCUACAGAUGAAUAUUUUGCUAGAUGUGUAGAUCCAAAUUGUGAUUGGUGGUUGCAAGCAACAAAAAUUCAAUGUUGUAAUAGAUUUGAAAUUAAACAAUACCGUAAUAUUCACUCAUGUGGGGAACUACAUCUUACAAGUCAUCAUCCACAUGCUUUAGCAUAAGUCGUCGCAGAUACAUGCUACUUAAUUUCUUGAUAGUGUAGUUUCAUGACUUUUUGCCGUAUUUAUAACAUGUACUUAAUGAGAAAAUUAUUAGUUCAAACAACUUAUAUAGUUGUAUUUUAUUAACUUUUAAUUUUUAUCAAAAGCUUCUAAUUUUUGUAUCAACAAUUUUUAAUGUUGUCGGACAACUGUAACAGUUCAAGGGUCAAGUCCUCCAAACAACUGCAUUAGUUGUCCAACGAUAUUGAAGAGUUGUCCAACAAUAUUGGAGAGUUGUCUAACAACUUUGCACAGUUGUUUAAAGAUUGAUCUAGCCGUUUUGUAAAUUAUUAGGUAUAAACUAAGUCGUUUAAUAAUAAUUGAAGAUCGAUUUAGUCAUUUUGUAAACUAUUAUGAAUAAAGUAAGUCAUUUAAUAAUAACUAAAGAUCAAUUUAGUCGUUUUAAAACUAUUAAGUAUAAAGUAAGUCACUUAAUAAUAACUGAAGAUCGAUCUAGUCAUUUUGUAAAUUAUUACGUAUAAACUAAGUCAUUCAAUAAUAGUUAAAGAUCGAUUUAGUUGUUUUGUAAACUAUUAAGUAUAAGCUAAGUCGUUUAGUAAUAACUGAAGAUCAAUGUAGUCAUGUUGUAAAUUAUUAGGUAUAAACUAAGUGGUUUAAUAAUAGUUGAAGAUCGAUUUAGUCAUUUUGUAAACUAUUUAGUAUAAACUAAGUCAUUUAAUAAUAACUAAAGAUUGAUUUAGUCGUUUGUAAAUUAUAAGUAUAAACUAAGUUGUUUAAUAAUAACUGAAAAGUUGAUCUAGUUAUUUUGUAAAUUAUUAAGUAUAAACUAAGUCAUUUAAUAACAGUUGAAGAUAGAUUUAACCGCUUUGUAAACUAUUAAAUAUAAACUAAGUCGUUUAACCACAUCCGGGGAGCUCUCUUGAUCACUUCGAGCAUCUGGAGCAUACAAGUGAUUCUUCUUAGGAGCAUCCGGGUUUGGGCACUUGCUUGAACUUGAGAAUUUUCCCUUUCUUGAGACUUCAUCAUAGGGAAAUGUCUCUUCAUAUGACCACUCUUGCCACAACCAUAAAAAUUGCCCAUGCCAACUAGGCACUUACCAUCAUGUCUCUUGUCACAUUUUGCACAAAGAGGCUUCUCAACAUAAGAUCUUCCACCUUUCCCCUCUUGGGGCUUGGGAGAAGGCACCUUGCUCUUGAUGACCCUUGGUGCAAUAGAAUAGCGUUAAUUGGAAAACCUCUUUUUGACCUUGGUUUGUCUUGAACCUCAAAUUUUGUCUUCGAAGAAUUCCCAUCUUCGUUCUUACCUUCUUCAACUCCCUACCAACUUGCUUAAGAUUUUGCUCCUCAAUUUGUUCGGCAUGAACCAUGAGACGAGAGGUGUCCAUGCAAGGAAUAAACAAAGCCGACCUACAUUCAUUAACCACAAGAUCGGAUAUCCCCAUGAUAAAUUUGUUCAUCUUGACCCGAGAAUCCACAACCAUAGUAGGAAAAUGUUUUGAUAGUGUACUGAAUUUUAAGGCUAUACUCCUUCACGCUCAUACCCCCUUGACAAAGGUUGAUUAAUUCUUGAAUUCUCCUCUCCCUUAGUUCCAAGGAAAAGAACCUAUCAAGUAAAGUCAUUUUGAAAGCUCACCAAGUAAUCCGACCUUCUAUAACCAGCCUCUUAUACUUCCAUUGCUCAUACAAAACUUGAACCACGUGCACUCGUGGCUGAGAGUUUGGAGGUUUCUCAAAACCUAUUGCCGAAAAAAUAUUCCAAGGAUAAGAAGAGAGAAGGCAAAAUGUUUUUGUAUUCCCUUUAGUUGGAUGUCUUAUAAUGUUCACAAAGUUCAUGCUUAUAUAGGAUUUUCCAAAGAGGAGUUUCAAAGGGAAGAAUUAAUUUGUAUAACUUAUAUUAAAUGUUAAUGGCAUUAAAAGUCAUUACAUCACAUUCGAGAGAAACUCUUCUUUGUUUUGGAACGGAAGAAUUAAUUUCUUUGUAACAUAAUUUACUUUCUAUUCUUUGCAUUACAGAAAAAUUGAAAAAAUGUUGAAUUAAUAUCACAAUUCCCCACUAAUGAAAACAUAAAGAAUAAGAACAAGUUUUGGACAAAAGGAAGGAACAUGUACUUAUAUGUCAAUAUCUUUCGAUUUGAAUUGACACGUAGUGAUAUGAGGCAACAACUUAUUAUCCACAAAGUGAAGUACUCUAGAAAUGAGCGGAUAUGAAUUGAGACCCUCAUAACACAUACCAUAUCCUUAAGUUUAAGCAACCUCCGCGAUACAACAUGCCUUUAUGGUCAUGCACACACACCUUGGGUCUUACGAGUUCUCUAGAAAGACGACACAAGUCUUUCAUAAAAGGCGACCACAUCUUUACACUCACGUAGGUGAUGCCAUCAAGUCUAUCUCAAAUAGACCACCUUACGGCUAUAGAAUCGUUAAGAGCAAAUUAAGUUCAACCUUAUAAAAUAUUGCAUCAUGCCAUACGGAUAGAAAAUGUGUUGUAUAUUGAGGCCUAAUAGGUCCACCACAUUACCUCAAUCAAUGGGCUUUAGCCCUAUCCCCCUCGAUGUUUCAAGGAUUAUUUUCCUUGUCAAGCCCUUUGUCAUAGGAGAUGCCAAAUUUCUUUUGGACCUUACAUAUUCCAAGGAAAUAACACCCAGUUUAAAUAAUUGUUUAACUGCACCAUGUCUGAUGCGAAUGUGUCUAUUUUUUCCAUUGUACACACUAUUUUUAGCGAUUCCAAUUGUUGCCUGUGAGUCACAAUGAAGAGAAACUGGUGAAGCUUAUCUUCUACCACAAAGGCAUAUCCGCCAAAAGAUUUCUUAGCCAUUCAGCUUCUUGCCUGCCAACUCGAGAGCAAUGAAUUCUGAUUCCAUGGUAGAAUGUACUAUACAAGUCUAUUUGGAAGACUUCCAUGAAUUAGCACCUGCACCUAAAGUAAAUACAUAGCCACUUGUGGAGCUAACUUCAUCAUUGUCAGUUACCCUGUUUGCAUCACAAAAACCUUCUAAAACAGCAGGAAAUUUGUUAAAAUGCAAACACCAAUUGAUAGAACCUCUCAAAAACAUUAGCAACCGAUGAAGAGCAUUCGAGUGUUCACUACUGGGAGUAUGAAUAUAUCUUCUCAAUCUACUAACAGCAUAAGUUAUAUCAAGCCGAGUAUAGUUCAUGAGAAAAAGUACACUGCCAAUUAUUUUAGCAUAUUCAAUUUGAGAAACAGUAGAUUCUUUAUUUUUCUUCAAGUGUAUCCUAGGGUCAUAAGAAGUCCUCACUAGAACUACAUCAAAACAAUCAAACUUUUUCAACAUCUUUUCAAUGUAAUGAGACUGACAUAAAGAGAAACCAUUAGCAGUUCAUUUGAUUUUAACUCCCAAAAUCACAUCUGCUUCACCAAGAUCUUUCAUUUCAAAUUUAGAAGACAAAGAGUUCUUAAUCUCAUUAAUAACAUUCACAUUAGCAACAAAGAUUAACAUGUCAUCUGUAUAUAAACAUAUAAUGAAACAAUCUGAACCUAUGAUCUUAGAAUAAACACAUGUAUCGGAUGAAUUUACAACAAAGUCAUUAUCCACUAUGGUGAUAUUAAAUUUUUCAUACUAUUGCUUAGGUGCUUGUUUUAGUCCAUACAAUGACUUUCUCAGUUUGUAUAAUUUAUCCUCUUGUCUUGGAACCACAAAACCCUCGGAUUGAGUCAUAUAGAUCUCUUGCUCUAAAUGACCAUUUAGAAAUGCAGUUUUAACAUCCAUUUGAUGUACCACUAAAUCAUGAAUGGAGGCUAAAGCAAUAAGAGUUCUAAUGAUUGCUAUUUUUGUCACAGGAGAAUAAGUAUCAAAGUAAUCAAUGCCUUUCUUUUGGUUAAAACCCAUAAUCACAAGUCUAGCCUUAUAUUUAUCAAUUGUACCAUCAGGUCUCAAUUUCUUCUUAAAUAUCUACUUGCUACUUAUGGGUUUACAACUUUUAGGCAAAUAAUGCAAGUCCGAAGUCUGAUUAGAAACUAUAGAGUCUAACUCACUUUUAAUAGCCUCUUUCAAUAAUACAACAUCUAUUGAUCUCAUUGCUUCAUCAUAAGUCUUAGGAUCUUCUUCUAUUAAAUAGAUAGACACUAAUUCAUCAUUUAAAACAUUAAUAUAAUAAUUUUCAGUUAAGGAAGUAGUGAUAAAUUUAGGACCAAAACUUUUUCAUGUUCAUUAGAAAUAACUCUAGAAAAAGGUACAACAUGGGAAUCAAUAAACAUAGAUGUAGAAUUAUUAUUUUACACAUCACUCGGCACAUUAUUUUUUAAAAGGAACAUAUGCUCAAAAAAUUCUGCAUCUCUAGAUUCACAAAUAGACUAAUCAUUUAGAGACAUAAAUCUAUAUGCAGCACUAUUUUGAGCAUAACCUAUAAAUAUAGCAUCAGAAGUCUUAGAACCAACAUUUACUCAUUUAAAAUUAGGUAGAUCAACCUUAGCCAAACACCCCCACACUUUCCAAAAUUUCAAAUUAGGAGCAAAUCCUUUCCACAGCUCAUAUGAGGUCUUGUCUAACUUCUUAUGCGGGACUCUAUUAAGAAUAUAGCAUGCAGACAAGACUGCUCCUCCCCACAUAUUAUCAGAUAGACAGAGCUUAAAAGCAUAGAGUUUAUCUCUUUAAGGGUUCUAUUUUUCCGUUCGGCUACACCAUUUUUUUGGGGAGUAUAGGGAGCACUAAACUCAUGUAUAAUACCAUUUUUCUCACAAAAAUCUUCUAGAGUUUUAGUACUAUAUUCACCACCCCUAUCAGAUCUAAAUCUCUUGAUUUUCCUAUCUAAUUGAUUUUCCACUUCUGCUUUGAAUUUCAAAAACAUGCUUUCAUUUUCAUCUUUAGACUGAAGAAGAUAUACCUUGGUGUAUCUAGAAAAGUCAUCAACAAAAGUAAUGUAAUACUUUUUUCCACCUCUGCUAACACUGUUUUUGAAUUCUGCUAAAUCUGAAUGUAUUAGUUCAAGUAAUUCAGUCUUUCUACUAAUAACAUAUUUGAAAGGUUUCUUGGCAUGCUUUGCUUCUAUGCACACAUAACAUUUAGAAAAAUCAUCAGUUUUUAUCAUUAGAAUUAAUUCCAUUUUCUUAAGUUUUUAAUAGAAGCAAUAUUGAUAUGACCUAGUCUACCAUGCCACAAAUUGAUAGACUCAACAAUAUAAGCAAAAUUUAAAAUACUUCCAUUAUUGACAAUCUCUUGAACAAUGUUCAGUACAAAUAAUCCUCCACUAAGAUAUCCCUUCCCAACAAAGUCUCCUCCACUAGAAAUAAUUAUUUUAUCAGCUUCAAAAACAAGUUUAAGGCCUACUUUGUUGAGAAGUGCUCUGAAAACUAAGUUCUACGGAGGGAGGGAACAUACAAAACAUUGUUAAAGAAUAAUGUGUUUCCUAAAGUUAAUUUAAGUAAAACUUUUCAUUCACCCAUUACUACAGCAGUAGUGGAGUUACCUAUGUAUACACACUCUCCAUCAGUGGACUCCUCAAUGUCAUGGAAUAACUCUUUAUUGGAACAAAAAUGCCUUGAAGUGCCUGUGUCUACUACCCAGUCAAUCUUGUUAGCCACCAGAUUUGCCUAAACAACUACAACAACAAUCACUUCAUUACCCUCAGCAAGAUAAGCUUAGACAUCACUUUGUCCUUCCUGCUUUGAGUCUUUCCUUUUCUUUGAUAGCACCUGGCAGCCCUGUGACCAACUUUUCCACAAACAAAACAAGAACCCUUAAUUUUUUAAAUUUGACUUUUCGGCUUGUUGAAUUGAUUUUUCUUCUUCAUAAGUUCCUUUUUUAAGACUUUCUUCUGUUUGCCUUUGAAACUGUCUUUCACAACAGUACCAGAAGAUUCAACAAGAUUAACUUUAGAAGAAUUAAGAGAAAGUUCUUCCAUCUUAUCUUUGAGACGGUUCGCCUCUUCAGUCCUCAUAUGACUAAUAAAUUCUUGGAGAGUUAAAUUCUUUUUUCUUAUGUUUUAAUUGAUUUCUAUAAUCACUCCAAGAUGGUAGGAAUUUUUCAAGCAGAACAUUAGCCUGAAAUAUCUCAUACAUCUUCAUGUCCUCGUUGAGAACAUAAGCAGUCAAAUUCUCAUAUUCGUGAACUUGCUCCAUUAUGGGCUUAUUAUCAGGCUUAUUAUCAACCAUUUGUAAUUUAAUCCAUUGGCCGGCAACAUAUUUUUUCUUUCCUGUAUCAUCAGCACCAUAUUUCUUUUCCAAACUAUCUCAUAUCUCUUUGGCAGAUUUAUAGUUUUAAAAUAAAUCAAAUAAAGGGUCAGUCAUAUGAUUUAGCAAAUGUCCUCAAACAAUUUGGUUAUCCUUUUCAGACUUCUUUUUAACAACAUCAUCAACAGUUACAACAUUACUAGAAUCAUAAGCAGUGUUAGAACCAUUCAUAGAAGGUUCUUUAAAUAAAACAGAAUCAACUUCUAAUUGUUCAAAAGAAAUUAAAAGUUUUUGUGACCAUCGUUUAAAAAUUUUCCAUCCAAAUGCUCAAGUUUUGACAAAUCAUUAAAAGUUUUGUUCAAAGAAAUAUCCAUUAUCAAUAUUGUAUGUUAGGGAAUCACUUUCAAAUUGUUGGAAAAAUUACUAAAAUAUUGAUAUUAGAAUGAAACUAUAAAAUAGUAAAUAACUUAUCACAAAUAUUAUGUCAUGGCAAGCCACUGCCUUGAAAGCAAUUUUGGCUCGACUCUGGUGCAAAUCGUUGCAGUUGGUCGCUCCCCAAGGUUCCACAGUUACUCUCAAACACGUGCACUCGUGGCUGAGAGUUUGGAGGUUGCUCAAAACCUAUUGCCCAAAAAAUAUUCUAAGGAUAAGAAGAGGGGAGGGAAAAUGUUUUUCUAUUACCUUUUGUUGGAUGUCUUAUAAUUUUCACAAAGGUCAUGCUUAUAUAGGAUUUUCCAAAAAGGAGUUUCAAAGUGAAGCAUUAAUUUGUAUAACUCAUAUUGAAUGUUAAUGGCAUUAAAAGCUAUUACAUCACAUUCGAUAGAAACUCUUCUUUGUUUUGGGACGGAAGAAUUAAUUUCUUUGUAACAUAAUUGACUUUCUAUUCUUUGCAUUACAGAAAAAUUGAACAAAUGUAGAAUUAAUAUCGCUGAAAUCAUUCAGACUAUUAACACCAGGUAUUAAUAAAGGUUUCUGCACACUUCUUGCUGCUGAUAUUCGUCUUACCUCCGUCCAUUUAUCGUCCUGCUUUUCUUUGAUCAGCUCCCCUUGUCUCUCUGCCUUAAGUUCACUGUUGGAAUGUGCAAUUAUACCGGGGUCGUUUGGCACUCAUUCAACUGUAACCCUAUAGGAUCAGCAAGAUUUGGCAACUUCUGGUCAUCCCGUUUAGGUUGACACUCUUAAGCUUGUGGCUUAUCCUUACGAACAAUGGGUUUGGUUUGUACAUUAGGUGAGUUGUGCAUUUAUGUCCAACCUGGAGACACUUUGGACAAUAUACAGGUAUCAAUUCAUAAAUCACCUUCAGAUCAAACACUCUUCCAUUUGGAUCCUCCAUUCUAACUGAAACUGGGAGUUCUUUUGUUAUAUCAAGCUAAAUCAAAACUUUGGCUAAGGAGGUUCUAGCUACCUUCAUUGUGCAUUCAUCAGCAUACAAAUGCAAUCCCAAACCACUACUAAUUAUGCUCAAUGAUUGUAUCCACCGUCAAUUCUCUCUAUAUAUAGAUAUUAGUCCAAAAAAAACAUAGAUAUAUAUUACACUAUUUAGAUAAGAAAUCCCAGCAGGACUACAAAUUUGGAAAUAUACAUACAUAAAUUUAAAAGAUAGCAGUACUAGAAUAGCUCUUAACAACAUUAGUAGACAGUAUUUGUAUCAAUGAGCUAUUUUUUGGACCAACACAUCUAGGGGUUUUAAACUGGCUCACCGCGCCUCCUAAUCCAACGAAAUGAUCCAAUAUCUUAUUAAAGGUUCCCCUCUUCACAAUCCGCAGUUCAAGUGCCCCAAUUGUAUUCAUUCUCCUGUUGUUCACAUAGCUUGAAUCGAGGAACGAUUUGUCCAGACAGUUGCAGCACUCUUGCAAUAUUUCAUCAGUUGCUUCCCCACUCAGUUCCCAGAAGAUGACAUAGUGUCCUGGAUCAGAUGAGAUGUUGGCAUGGCUUGUGAAGUCCACCACUUCUAGUUUUUCGUCAACUAAGUGCUUGCCUGCAGCUUCCACAGCUAGUUGCAAAUCUUUCUCGGUGUUCUUGUCUAUGUUAAUGCUCAGCACAAGGUUCCUUCGACAGACGAACUGGAGCUCUGGAGUGCUAUUGUGGAAUCCUUUUAUCUUCACAACAUCACCCAGUCUAUAACGAUAUAAACCUGCAUAUGCAAAUGCAUAAGUGUAGUCAAUUAUACUAUCACUACAUAUAGCUAAACUUGUAUAUGACACAAUAGAUAGACCGAUACCUUGUUAUUUUGAAUAAAUCUGUUAUGUGGAACUUAGAAGGAAAAAUGCAAAAGAUUCCAGCAUUCUAUAUAGAAGUACUUAACAACAAAAGGAAAUGAAUAUCAAGCACAUGCACGUAUUGCUGAACAAAUGAGUACAACAGAACAUGGACAAAAGACCCAGAAUAAGGCAUAAAAGCAAACGACAACUCUUUUCUAUCUUAGCAGAAUUUAGUAUUUUAUGCCAGGCAGGCAUAUUUAACUGAUUAUGUUUCCAACAAUAUUGCCAUAAAGUACGAAGACUAAGGACAUGCUAAACUCCACAAGUCUAAGCUGAAUUACAUGGCAGUCAAUAAAAUUAGAGCAGAACUCGUUCACUGGGAAGAAUCACUGAAUAAUAAGAAUAUGCUCAAUUAUCCCCGGUUUAUCAUGUUGUGCUCACUCCAUAAUUCAUAUAUGAACAGAGACCUCAAUUUGAUGAGCAUAGAAUUUUCAAGAGAAGUCGUGCAAGAAAAUUGUACCUGCAAAAUUAGUGAAGACAAUUUCAUACUCUUCACCAAGUUUAACUUCAGUCAGGCAGACAGGAGAAUUUGCUUGCUCCAUGCCAAUGAGAUUUUCCUCGAGUGGGAGGAAUUCAAAAUAGCCAGUAUUUGGUAACACUGCAUAAGUAACCAUCUCAGGGGGGAAUUUUGGGUUAACAUUUAAUCCAACCCAUCCUUCAGAAGAACCAUAAUCUGCACUCACUAGAGGUAAUUUCCCUGCAUAGUGCCUCAGUUUCUUCAAGUAAGGCUCCAUGGAACCUGUCAUGAUACCAUAAAUGUACUUUGUAUUCGGGAAGAGUUUAGGAAUCAAGCCAUACCAAUUGCUUAAACUUGAGCAUUUGCUAUAAAUUGUAUCAGCCAGUUCUGGAUCAGGCUUCAGCAGUUUCGACAUGGCCAAUCUUAUAGAUGGGACUGUGACACGGCUCGAUAAGACUCCCUCCCUUAUGUCAACGACAAGUUCUUCCCAUACUUGUUCAAAAGUUCGAAAAGCUUGGACAAUGCUAUGUGCAAAUGCAGACGAAACAACUUGAACUUCAUUGCGGAAAAUGAGACCAGACAGGAGGUGACAGUACAAAGAUUGUCGAAAAUCAGGACCAAAUAUUACUUCAUCAGGACUACAAAUUGGGGUAGACAUUGCCUUCAUUGUCUUCUUGUAUUGUGCAUUUCUAUACACAUGGGUAGUGGCUGUUCCAGUUGCCAAACCACCUUUAGUUUUAAAUUGCUUGCUGCUGUAAAUAAUGUGCAAAACCUUCCCAUUCCCUAUUGGAAAUUCUCUGAAAGAAAAAAAUAUAGGCUAUAUGAUGUAUUUAUGACAAAAAAAACUUCAUGAACCAACAAGAAAAUUACAUGAAAUAUAAGACAGAGAACAAAAUGAAAAAUUACCUGUUCCUAAAGGCAAAAGAAGUCUUGAAUGUCUGCAUUGUGGACUUCAUCAAUUCUUCAUUGAAAGGUACAAACUUUGGCUUCCCUUGAGUAGUACCAGAACUGCAAAUCAACCCAUUAAAUUUCCUCUUUAAUCAUACAACAAUAUACUGCUCACAAGUGGGGUCUUAAAAAAGAAUAAAAACUUUUUUGCUUACCUCAAGGAGAUGGCUUGAAUGGGCUUUCCAGUAAGAAUAGGUGAAAGAUCACCAUCAGCAAUUCUUUGAAUGUAAGGAUUCAAAUCACUGUGACUGACAAUGGGGACACAAGCCUUGAAAGUCUCAACAUCAGUUCUGCCAUUCAGACCCCAUUUCUUCAAAUACUCUGUUCCCCCAUUUUCUUUCAGAAUUUUCUCAAGUGUCUCUUCUUGAAUCGUCCCAGCAUCUUUUGUCAUCACCUCAAAAUUCUCAAUCACUUCUUCUGCAUCAAAUAUCUUCUCAAUAUUUUCCAUCAUCUUCAUAAUCAAGACUUCAACUUUAAGCAAUAGCUGUCAAGUAAAAGCAGUCAAGAAUCCUCAAUUUGAGAGAUGGGGUUGGGGGUUAAGAAGAAUUUAAGCAAAUCCAUAGUUAUUACUAACUUCAAUGCAACUUAUUACUAACUUCAAUGCAACUUAUUACUGACUUAAAUGCAACUUAUUACUAACUUCAAUGCAACUUACCUCAUAAAAAGAAUUGACAGAAAUAAAGAAAACAAGUUUGUUACAGAUAAUCAUACUCAUUAUCUUCGUCUUAUUCUUAAGAUACAGAGAUGAAUCUAGAAAUUGAAAAUACCGAGAUAAUUGUCAUUUUUAAUGUAGACGUGUCAAUUUUUUUAUUUAAACUAAUAUAGACACGUCAAUUAUUUACACAAAGUUUGAGGCAUAAUUCUAUGGGAAAAAUUGGGUUGUAACUACUAAAAUGCAAAUAUAAAACAAAGUGCAAUUGGAAGUUGGUGUUGGGUUCUUUAAAAUGUUUGAACAUGAAUUGGAGGGUUGUGACUCUUCUGAAAGUUAUGACUUUGCAGAAAGGUUGUGAUCUUUAUGAAAAGUUGUGUCUUUUCUAAUGGAUUGUGAUCGUUUGAAAGUUUGUGUAUCUUUCAAAGAGUUCUGACGUUUUUGAAUGGUUGUCUUAUUUUCAAAGAGUUGAGACCUUUAGCGUUUGUUGGCUAUAAAUAGAUAGGUUUUCUCUCGUUUUUGUGCAUUGAAUUAUAUCUUCUUUUGCAUACAUUUGUUACGAAACAAAAUCGAUCAAUCGUGUCUGUGUGUGUGAUUUGUUAAUGUCAUUUUAAGUUCAUUGAAUUUAUUGAAGUUUGAGGUAUCGCUACUUCUUUAAUGAUUAAUCUAAUUUAUCUUGGGAGGAUGUAACUGCAACCUUGAGUACUUGAGGGAAUUAAAUUUCUUAAGGACACGCAGCGGUUCUGUGGACUCAGAUAGUUUUUUGUGUUUUUCUUUUCAACUUUUAUUAUUUCUAGUUUACUAAUUCGUUUAUAGGAGACAAAAAAUUUAAGAAACUUAAUAUUUGAAGGAAUAUUGAUUGUAUUGAAGUGUUAACCUAAUAAGGGAAUACAUGGGAGAUAUAUAUAGGAGAUAUAGGAAGGAUUACUAAUCCUAAUAGGACUAGGAUUAAGGAGUACUAAUCCUAAUAGGACUAGGAUUAGUACACAGUAAAUACUAAUAUUAUUUAAUAUUAUUUGUUUAAUUCUAUCUGUUAUUAUCCUCCCUCAAGAUGAGCUGAGCGGAAGCGAACGGAAGCUUGGAACUGAGGUAAUCAUGUUGUCGGAUCGGGAGAGCCUUGGUGAGAAUAUCAGCCAGUUGUUCUUCAGUGGGUACAUACUGCACAGUCAUGGUGCCGGCCUGAACUUCAUCGCAAACAAAGAGACAAUCGGUAUCAACAUGCUUCAUUCUGGUGUGUAGGACGGAAUUCUUGGCCACACAGAUGGUUGAUUUGUUGUCACAAUAGAGAGCAGGAACAGUGUGAGUGCCGCGGAGUUCGCAAAGAAUAUAUGUGACCCACAUGGUCUCAGCAGCGAGAAGAGCAAGGGCGCGGUAUUCAGCUUCAGUCGAGGACCGAGAGACCUUGGGUUGUUUUUUUGUACAAUAGGAGAUCAGGUUCGGCCCCAAAAAAAUGAGAAACCCCGAUGUAGAUUUUCUGUCAUUUUUAUCAUUCGCCCAAUCUGAAUCUGAGAACCCCCGAAGCUCCAAGUUCCCGGGUCGAAUGAGUAAACCACGACCAAGAGUGCCAAAAAUGUACCUGAGAAUGCGUUUUAGACAAUGGUAAUCAUGUUCACUUGGUUGAUGAAUACGCUGAGCAACUCGGUUGACAGCAAACUGGAUGUCAGGACGGGUAAUGGCCAGAUAUUGUAGAGCCCCAAUGAGGCUGCAGAAGUGGGUGAUAUCCAGCAAAGGGGGUGUCGGCUCCAUUCUUAGACGAAGAGAAUGCCAUUGGUGUUGGUUGACUGGUGCAUUUUUCCAGUCCAGCUUUCUACAACAGAUCUCGAGCAUAUUUUGACUGAUGAAGAAACAAGUCGCUGUCUGUCCGAGAAACCUCCAUUCCCAGAAAAUAAUGUAACGGGCCAAGGUCCUUCAUUUUGAAGGUAGUAGCUCGAGUGACAUCCUGAAUGAGAGCUGCAGUAGAGCCUGUAAUAAUGAUAUCAUCUACAUAGACUAGAAGAAUGACUGUACCGUGUGCUGAAUGUCGAGUAAACAGACUCGUGUCGUGUACGCAACACGUGAAGCUGAGUCCGUGGAGGAACGUUUUCAGACGUGUGUACCAAGCACAGGGGGCUUUCUUGAGCCCAUACAGAGACUUCUGGAGUUUGCAAACAUGUUGAGGGAAGCAGGGAUCAACAUAGCCCGGUGGUUGCGUCAUGUAGAUAGUUUCAACAAGCAUGCCAUGAAGAAAAGCAUUGGAAACAUCCAACUGAUUGAUGAGCCAAUUGUUGCGCACGGUGAGUGACAGUACCAGGCGAAUGGUUUCCUGCCGAAUAACAGGACUGAAUGUUUCGGAGUAAUCAAGCCCAUACUCCUGAUUGUAGCCUUUAGCAACCAAACGAGCCUUGUACCUGGAAGUACUGUCAUCUGCAUUGUGUUUAAUUUUGUACACCCAUUUACAGCCCACUGGGUGCCGCCCAUGGGGCUUAGGUACAAGAACCCAAGUUUUCUGAUCAGUCAAAGCCUUAAACUCGUCAUCCAUAACAUGACGCCAAUAAGCAUUUUUUGAGGCAACAGAGUAGGUUGUUGGUUCACUAUCGGGAAGGGGUGUAUUUGGUAGUAUGGUAGCCUAAAAGGUUUUGAGUUUAAAGAUAUCGGCUUUGCCAUGGGUUAACAUGGGAUAAGUAUUUGGGGGGUGGCACGGGCGGUGGUGAUUCGGGGGUGUCCGGGAAGGACACAAAACGAAUCGGCUGUAGAUGUUGUGGGUAUGGGGUGGUUUGGGUUGGUUGUGAGUGUGGGUGGUGGUCGCGGGUAAAUUGUGGGUGACGGUCGAAGGGGUGAUGAGGGGUGGUUGGGUAGUGUGUGGAGGUGUGGGGGAAGGUGGUGAGGGACCCUGUGAGUAUGUUAGAAAAAGGGGAAGGACGCCAAUGAAUGAUGUAUUUGUGGAGGAGGAAAUAAACUCGUAGGGAAACUCAUUUUCGACAAAUUUGACAUGAUGAGAUAUGUAGACUUUAUGAGUUUGUGGGUCAAGACAGUGAUAACCCUUGGAGAUAGGAUGAUAUUCCAAAAAAAUACAAGGACGGGAUCGGGGUUUUAAUUUGUGAGUAAUAUGAGGGCGUAGCCAAGGGUAGGCAAUAGACCCAAAGACGCGGAGGUUGGUAUAAUUGGGAAGUUCUGGGUAAAGGAGUUGGUAGGGUGAUUUGUUGGAGAGGGUGUGACUGGGCAUUCUGUUAAGGAGGUAGUUUGCGGUGGCUAGAGCUUCUACCCAAAAGGAGACAGGGAGAUGAGAUUGAUGUAGAAGAGUAACCACCGUUUCAAUGAGAUGGCGAUGAUUAUGCUCAGCCACCCAUUCUGUUCGGGAGUGUAUGGACAGGAGGUUUGAUGUAUAAUUCCCAGGGAUUGCAGAAACUGGCCAAAGAUGUUAUUUACAUAUUCCUUUCCAUUGUCACUUCAAAAAAGUUUAACAUGAGAAUUGAAUUGUGUUUUGACCAUUUUUUCAAAAGUGACAAAGGUAGUGUAUGCCUGUGAUUUGUGUUUUAGUGGGUACAACCAAGUGUAUUUUGUAAAAUCAUCCACAAAACAAAUAUAAUAGUGAAAACCAGCAAAUGAAGGAACAGCUGUAGGACCCCAUAGGUCAGAAUGAAUAAGUUGAAAAGUUGCAGUUGUACGCUUCUUAGAUAAAGUAGAAGGUAAUUUAUGAGAUUUAGCAAUUGAACAGGAGUCAGAAUUGUUUAUAUGAAUGGAAGAAAAACCUAAUUGAGACAUUAAAGAAUUUAUUAUUUGAGUAGACGGGUGACCCAGACGACUGUGCCACAACGACUGUGGCCAUCAGGCGAAAGAGCCCCCGAAUCCACAGGAACGGUUUCUGAAACUGGGUAGGCAGUCGAACUUGCGCCAGGAAGAACGUACAGACCAUGCUCACAGGGGCCCUGAAAAAUCACCCUCUUGGUAGUAUUGUCUAGGAUCUGAAAAUCAUUAGAGGUGAACAAGAGUGAGCAAUUAUUGUCUUUUGUGAAUUGGUGAACUGAAAGGAGAUUGGUUUUAAUAGAAGGGACGUGGGUAAGGUUACCUAGGUGAAAAGAUAGUGGUGGGGGUUUUAAUGGUACCCGUGCCAGUGUGAGAAAUAUUAAGGGACUCACCGUUGCCAACAGUAAUACCAUUGGAGCCAUGAUAUGGAUUUGGAGCGUUAAGCUUGGAUAGUUUAGAAGUAACGUGCAUGUUGGCCCCAGUAUCCAACAGUCAUUCAGAGGAGGGGCCGGCUUGAGAUACAUAAUUGGCACGGUUAUCACUAUUUCGGCUCUUCUCAUACCGAAACCAGCAACGAACAACGGUGUGUCCUGUUUUCUAACAGAUUUGACAAGUUGGACGAUCCCGCUCGUAAGUGCCCUGCCAGCCGCUGGAAGAUGACUGCCCGCCGCUGCCGAAGGAGUGCAGGAUGUUGUUGCUGUCGUGCUGCUGACCGUCAUACGGCGGACGACUGCCCUGCCGACCGCCGCGCCCGCGGCCUCCGCUGUUUCUGCCGUAGCCGCCGCGACUCCUCUACCGGCCACCACCACGCCCCCCGCGAUAGUUCUGGCUUGCGGUGAAGGCGGUGGCCGGCUCCAUAACAGCGGCUUCUCGGAGAAGAAGUUUGCUCUCCAGAUCCACGUUGAUUUCUUCACUUUUUAGCCAUGAGGAGAGAGUAGCCAGGUCAACGGGCGUUGGACUGAUGCGAACCGCCUGUUUAAUGGAGGAGCAAGCUGAUGGGAGCCCCCGAACGACGCACAUGACGAGAUCUUUUUCGGGAAUGAUUUCGUUCGCGGUGUCGAGGGUUGUGAUGAUUGUUGAGACCUUGUCUAAAUACUCCGCCAUAGUUUUCGUGCCUUUGGUAAUUGUGUGGAGACGAUCACGCAAUUGAAAAAUAUGAGAGUAGGAAAUUGAUGCAUAGCGUGUUGCGAGGGUCGUCCACAGUGCUGAAGUAGUUGUGUAGGAUCGGACGUGUUUCUGAACCGUGGGAGAGAUGACCGUAAUCAAACAUGAUCAAAUCUGAACAUCCACGGCUUUCCAGGCGUCAUAGGCCGGAUUGGUUUUUUCUGAUUUGUCCGUGGCGGUGAUGACUGCCGGCGGCGAUUCUGUGCUUCCAUCGACGUAUUUGAGAAGGUAAUUGGCCUCAAGGGCUGUAAGAACGGUGAUUUUCCAUGUAGUGUAAUUUAUGUCUGAUAAUUUUUCAAGAAUUAGGGCAUGAAGAUGCCUAAGAAGGAGUUUAACGCCAGAAGGAAGUGAAUCGAGAGGAUCCACCUCGGUUGUCAUGGCUGCCACCUCCCAAGAGAAGAGAGGGAACGAUCGGUGCCCUAAAGAGAGAAAAAAACCUAGAGAAAAGAAGAUCUAGGUUUUCUGGCUCUGAUACCAUGAAGAAAUAUUGAUUGUAUUGAAGUGUUAACCUAAUAAGGGAACAGAUGGGAGAUAUAUAUAGGAGAUAUAGGAAGGAGUACUAAUCCUAAUAGGACUAGGAUUAAGGAGUGCUAAUCCUAAUAGGACUAGGAUUAGUACACAAUAAAUACUAAUAUUAUUUAAUACUAUUUAUUUAAUACUAUCUGUUAUUAAUAUUGAAGGUAUUUUAUGUUAAGACUUACUUCUAUUUUCAGUAUUCUCUUUAUUGGGAAAAAUAAGUUGAAAAAGAAAAUUAUUUUAUCAUGAUAAAAGAGAUUUGGAAUGAAUUAAUACUACUUCAAUAUGGUCGAGUAAUUAAUACUACUCAUUUUUCUGCAUUGAAUUAUCUUCUUCUUUUGCAUACAGUUCAUACAAAACAAAAUCGAUCAAUCGUGUCUUUGUGUGUGAUUUGUUGAUGUCAUUUUGAGUUUGUUGAAAUUAUUGAAGUUUGAGGUACCACUGCUUCUUUAAUGGUCAAUCCAUUUUAUCUUGGGAGGAUGUAAUCUGCAACCUUGAGUACUUGAGGGAAUUAAAUUUCUCAAGGAAACACAGUGGGUUCCGUGGACUCAGAUAGUUUUUUGUGCUUUUCUUUUCAAUUUUUAUUAUUUCUAGUUUGCUAAUCGGUAUAUAGGAGGCAAAAAAUUUAAGAAAUUUAAUAUUGAUGGUAUUUUUUAUGGUAAGACUUACUUCUAUUUUCAGUGUUCUUUUUAUUGGGAAAAAUAAGAUGAAAAAGAGAAUCAUUUUAUCAUAUGAUAAAAGAGAUUUGAAAUGAAUUAAUACUACUUUAAUAUGUUCGAGUAUAUUUUCUGUAGUAUGUUUUCCUUAAUUAGAUGGGUAUGAUUAUUUUUAGUUUCUUCCCAAGUGCAUUGAAGCAACUCACUACACUUUUUAUUUAUUUUUUUUUUCCCUAUGUUAGUUUUACAUAAGUAUGAAAAAAGUAAAUGAACAAAUGUUGUCUCCUAACAAUAUUUGAACAUGAGUUUAGUUUCUUGUUGAAACUAAAUGUCUUCUUGAGAAAAAUAGGAACAUGAAGGAAACUAAGAAAAGGAGAAAAAAAUUAGCAAGGAACAUGACUUGCAUGGAAUCAAUAGAUAGAAUAUGAUUUGGUUAGGGUAAAAAUCAGGUUCUAUCUUUAUUUCACUUGAUUAUUAUUAUUUUUCUAUUCCUUUAUAAGUUAUGAAAUGUAUUUCAUAAAUGUUAGGAUAGAUGGUCAUAAUGUGAUGAUCCAGAAUAUAUGUUUAUUAUUACUAGUAUGUAUUCUGUUUAGAGGGGGUACUUUUGUAAUUUUCUACUCCAUGUGAAAUUUGAUUGUGUUUGACUUUUGGAGACUAAAAUCUUCUGAUUUUUUUUAACUUGUUUGAUUUGAAGAAUAUAAGAACUUUACUAACAAAUCAGAUUGUGCAUUGGUUUAAAGAAAAUAGUAACUUCACCAAUAUGUUAAAUGCUUUGUUUGAAUGAAUGUUCUGACUUGAAGAGUAAAAAAUCUGCGUAGGAAUAUUAAGGCUAAAUGAUUUGAAAGAUAUAAAAUCUUCAUCUUUAUCUAGAAACAAUGUUGUAUUUGAGGUUUCUGGAGAUUGAAAAAUUUCUGGUUUACUACUUUGUCUGAAUGUGAAACUGAUUCCAAGAAUAUAAAAACUUCAUCAAAAUUCAAGAUUUUUUCGGUUAACGAUUAGAAAAAUAUAAAAACUUCAUUGUUAAAUUGGAAACAGGUUGUAUAAAGAUUGAAUCUUUAUUUUUAGUAUUCUAAAUACUAAGUGGUCUGUCUAGUUGUGAUAGAAAGUAAAAAAAAAACACUACUAACAUAAAAUUAGUGAUUUUUGUGCUUGCAAUAGGUGUUUCUAUGGAUUAAAUCUCCAAAAGAAGAUUUUGUGUUAUCAAUGUAUAUUUUGAUGAUAUACAAGUUGAAUGAAUGGAAACAAAAUAUGUGGAAAUAAUUUCGAGUACUUGAAAAUAUUUUUGAAAACAUAUUUAAAAUGUGGGGGUUCUUCAUUUGUGAUAAAGACAAUAUUAGAUUUACCCACGAAAUUUUUGGAGUAUAUUUGAUAUUGCGGUCGUUGAGUCUUUCUUUACCAGUAUAUGAUAUGAAUAGUAUAAAACUACAAAAUUAUAUUACUCUUUCAAAAGAAUUGUAUUCUUUGAUGAAAAAGAGUCACUUGGAUAUUAUGGAAAGGUCCUUUACAAAAGACAUCUGGCAAGGUGUUGACUCUAAAACAAUGUUUGCAUUUGACAAAGUUAUAACAAGUAACGAACAAAAUAUUUGUAGGAAAAUGCUACCUCGCAGAAGGUUUUUCCAAACCAAGUAUUUCUAAUUGUUCUGACUUAAACUGAUCAACUUAGAAGUUUUGCCUAACUCCUAGUGCAAAUGUCAAGUAUGUGUUGUUGAAAAGAAUUUCAGUCCCUUAGAAUUGAUUUACACUGACAUUUUUUAUAUGGAGUCAAUACCAUCUCGUAGUGGGAAAAGUGUUUCAUAAAUUUUAUUGACAAUUGCACUAGACAUUGUUAUGUUUCUUUGCUGAAUAAUAAGGAUAAAGCAAAAGAAACAUAUAAGCAAUAUAAAUUUGAAGUUCAAAAUUAGUUAGAUAAAAUAUUGUCAUGAUUAGAAGUGGUAGAUGUUGAGAAUAUAAAUCUUCUUUUGCAUAAAUAUAUUUGCAAAAUGGAAUCAUCCAUCAAAUUACUUCACAUACUCACCUCAAUCUAAUGAAAUUGUUGACAGAAAAAAAAAUUUGAACUUUGAAUGAAAUGUUGAAUUGUCCUAUUAAUAAGUUUAGGUUUACCAAAAAUAUUAUGGGGGAUGCUAUCAUUAUAGCAAAGAUAACAAGAAAAAGUUUAUAUGUUCAGAAAGAAAGAUACAAAAAAAAUGUUUGUCAGUAAAGAGAGUAACAAAUAAAAAAAUUUAUUGUUAAGAAAGGGAGCAAGAAAAAGAUGUGUUUGUUCAGGUUUAAUUGUAUCCUGAUAGAGAAUUGUUUGUCGCCCCUUAAAGUAUAUACAAUCAAUAACACCUUUGAAAAUAGUGAUCUAACAAUUUCCAAUACAAUUUAUUCCAUAUGAGAAAUGGGAAUAUGGAAACUAUUUCCAAACGGGUCAAAAUAGGACCUAUGAUUGUGGACCUACAAAUAUUAAAGCAUGUUGGAAUGCUACAAGUGUUGGUAGUUCUAUAAAAGUUGGUUUUUACAUGGCAUGCAUAUUUGCCUUGCACCAUUACAAGUGAUUAAAGUCACUAAUUUGGUAGGAUCCAUGUGGUAAUGGUCGUUGUUUUACAACACUCCCCCUUAGAUGUGUAUAUAAAUGAAAAGUUAAAAAUAAAUAUACAUAGACAUUCAAAAUAUGCUUUACUUGAUACCUCAUUAAAAAAAAAUUUAGGAAAACUCACGGGACAAAACCUAGACUAAGGAAAAAAGAGUACAACGCAUAUUUUACACUCUCUGAUAAAGACCAUGAUUCAGAUGCUUAAGUCUGCCCAUUCCAAUCUUUUGCACCAUAUUUACAAGAGUUGAGACAGGUAAAGAUUUGGUGAAUAAAUUUGUUGGAUUAUCACUUGAAUGAAUUUGUCGUAUAUCAAUAUCACCGUUCUUCUAGAGAUCAUGUGUAAAGAAUAAUUUCAGUGAAAUAUGCUUCAUUCUAUCUCCUUUUAUGUAGCCUCCUCUUAAUUGAGCUAUGUAUGCAGCAUUUUCUUCAAAACCACUGUGGGUACCUUGACAUCACACUUCAAAUCACAUCUUUCUUUUAUGAAAUGUAUCACUAAUCUCUACCAUAUACAUUCUCUACUAAAUGUUCAAUUUAUAGACCAAGACAGUGUUUUGUCUUUCAAAGAUCUUUCUAUCUCAAAUUAUUUCUUUAGAAAUUCAAUUGGAUUUUUGACCUCUUCUAGAGUUCCAAUGAUAUUAAUUUCAUCAACAUAAACUGCAAGAAUAACAAACUCUGACGUUGUUUUCUUAAUAAAAAUUUCAAGGACAAAUGACAUUAUUUAUAUAAUUUUGUUUUGUCAAGUACUCACUGUGGCGAUUAUACCACAUGCAUCCUGAAUAUUUUAAGUCGUAUAAUGACGUUUGUAAUCUGAUUGAACACAUUUCCUGAGUUUUUGAACCAUAUAUUUCAGGCAUUUUAAGUCCUUCUGAAAUUUUUAUAUAAAUUUCAUUAUCAAAUGAAUCGUAAAGAUAAAUUGUGACCAUAUCCAUCGGAUGUAUUUCAAGAUUUUCAUGAAAAGCUAAACUGAUGAGAUAUCAAAAAGUUAUUGCAUCCAUAACUGGUGAAUAUGUUUCUUCAUGGUCAACAUCAGGUCGUUGAUAGAAUUCUUGCGCAACAAGGGGUGCCUUGUAUCUUAUAAUUUCAUUUCUCUUUCGCACAAAAAUGCAUUUAUAGCCAAUCGAUUUUACAUCAAUUGGGGUUUGGACUACAGAUCCAAAAACGUUAGGUUUAGCAAGUGAGUUCAAUUCUAAUUGAAUUGCCUCUUACCAUUUUGGCAAAUCACAUCUUCAUCGACAUUCUAUGACAAACAAGGGUUCAAGAUCCUCAUUGUCUUACAUAAUGUUAAGUGAGACAUUAUAUGCGAAAACAUUUUCAACUAUAAUUUUCGAUCGAUCUAAACUAAUCCUAUCACUAGUAGAACUUAUUGAAAUUUCUUCAUUCACUUGAAUCUCGGGUUCACCGAUCUCUUCUGGAAUAUCAGGAUUAAUCAAAUCAUGAAUAUUUUAGUGAGAUUCUUUUGCAGUGUCAUUUUUCAUACUUCUUUUUCUAGGAUAUUUAUCCUUUGAACCCAAUGAUCUGCCACACUUCAAGAGUGUUUGUGUUUCAGAAGCCAUGACACUUGUCGAUGGUCCUUUUGGGACGUCAAUCCAGAUAGACACAUUUACUGCAGAAUAUGUGACUUUGUUAUCCUUUUCAAAUUAGUAAAGCCGUAUGGCAUUUGAUUUGCUAUUUUUUGCAAAUGGAUGAUCUUCUGGACCUCCUGGUCACACAUGGGAAACGUGGGUCAAAAUAAGAUAAUUAUGAAACUUUUAAUGCAAUUUCACUUUUAAGUUUCUUUUUCUCUCUCAUUAAUUGCGGAAAAUUCGUUUCAUCAAAUCAACAAUCUGCAAAUCUUGCAGUAAAUAAAUCUCCCAUCAUUGGCUCAAGGUAGAGAAUUAUGGAGGGUAAAUCAAAUCCAAUAUAUAUGCCUAACCUUCUUUGAGGCCCAUCUUAGUGCGUUGCGGUUGUUACUGAACAUAUAAGUUGUUACUGCACAUAUAAAGCACAUCCAAAAAUUUAUAAAAUGAGCAAUAUUUGGUUCAUGACCAAAUACUAAUUAUGAAGGAGAGUAUUUAUCAUAAUGAGUCGGUCUGAGAUAAACAAGUGAUGUUGCAUGUAAGAUAGCAUGGCCCCAUACAAUAGUGGUAACUUACUUUACAUAAGUAGAGGUUUUGCUAUCAAUUGUACGCGCUUAAUAAAUGACUUAGCAAGGCCAUUUUGAGUAUGAACAUGAGCUACAUGAUGUUCAACUUUUAUCCCUAUUGAUAAGCAAUAAUCAUUAAAAGCUUAGGAUGUGAAUUCUCCAGCAUUAUCAAGGCGAAUUGUCUUAAUGGGAUAAUGUAAAAAUUGCGCUCUUAAUCGUAUUAUAUUGUACAAAUAAUUUUGCAAACGCCACGUUGCAAGAUGAUAAGAGGCACACAUGAGACCAUCUUGAAUAUGCAUCUAUUAGGACCAUAAAAUAUCUAGACAACUCACUAGAUGGGUGAAUAGAUCCAUAGAUAUCCUCAUGUAUACAUUUUAAAACUUGAGGGGAUUUAAUGUUAACCUUAAUUGGUGAUGGCCUAUCAAUUUGUCGUGAUAACAAGAAGCACGUGAAAAUUCAUCACACAUAAGAAUCUUCAGGUUCUUUAAUGAUAUCCAUUUGAGUUUCCAAUGAUUCGUCUCAUCAUUAUUGAUCUAGGAUGACCUAUUCAGACAUGCAAAAGCACAAUAGUUUUUCAGUCAGUAAACUUCUGGUUCACGAUAGAAUGUUCUUCAACUAUAGUUUUUACAUAAUAUAAUCUAGAAGAUAAUGUUGAUAAUUUAUUCAACAUAUAUUUUUUAUCUUAGACAUUUUGAUAAUAUCAAGGUACUCAACAUUUAUUUCAUUGAUCGUCUCAACAUGAUAUCCAUUUCGGCGAAUAUCUUUAAAACUUAACAGGUUUCUUGGGGAUUUAGAAGAGAAAAAUACAUCUGCUAUAAUAAGUUUUGUCCCCGUAGGCAGCAAGAUAAUAGUUCUUUUGGAGCCUUCUAUUAAGUUCAAACUAUAAGAAAUUGUAGUAACAUUUCCUUUUCUUCUAAGCAAGUAAGAGCAGUAUUUCUCAUUUUUUAAUAUGUCGUGGGUUGUUCCACUAUCAAUUACACAAAUAUAUUCAUGGUUGAUCAUUGAUUCAAACGAAGUUUGGGGCAUAUCCAUAUUUUCUUGAUAAAUAAAUUUAAACAAAGUAAAAUAUUACUAUUAAAUAAGGCUAUUAUAUUUACAAGAUUAGAAAAAUACAUACAUACCAACUAAUACAAACAAACAGAAAAAGAGAUUAUCUAGAUUAUCGCGGGAUCGCCAUUGAUCGUUUGUCCUUCAGGGAAUACAAAGAAAUCAGCUACAUUUAGAAGCAUACGGUCAACAUUUGCUUUUGCAUUACUAUUCAUCUUAUGCAUGGGUUCAACAUUAUCUUUGAGACAUAAAGUUUGCAACUAGAUUAUAAUUAUCCUUUUUCAAGGAUGCCUGAUAGAGCUAAACCAGACGCUUAGAUGAUCAGCAAGUAUGCGACCAGUGCCCCAUUCCUCAACAUCUAAGACAUAUACUUUCUGAAUUUUUCUUUUGUAUACUUCUUGUCUUUCACCUUUCCUUUUAUAUUGCUGGUCAUUUUUAGGUGCAAGACGACCAUCAUGAUUAUAAUUUAUUUUACGAUCACGAUCGAUCAUGACCGGAGCCAUGACCACGAUAAGAGCCACGACCUCUUUCUAAUUGGUGACAAUUUGUCUAAUUCACUUCACGAAGUGGCAUAGAAUCAACAUAUCGACUUCCAUGAUUUUUUAUCAAAAUAUCGUUAGUUGUUCUGCAAUAAGAAGAUGUGAAAGUAAUUCAGAAUAUUUUUUAAAACUCAUUUCUUGAUAUUGCUACUGCAGGAGCACACUAUAGGCAGGAAAUGUGGAGUAUUUUUUCUCAAGCUUAUCAUGUUCAAUGACCUCUUUUCGGCAUAAAUUUGACUGUGAUAUAACUCUAUGCAUGGAAUAAUAUUUUAAAGUCUAUUAACCUCAAAUUAGACCAAUCAUGAUACACCUGUGGAAAGAUGACCAACUUCAGGUGGUCAUAUCUAUCUUUUAAUUUUUUCCACAAUACAAGGAGUCUUUAAUAGUGAGGUAUUGCUAAAUUAGAAAUGUGUAACUUGGCCACUAAUUGUCAAGUGUUGGUAGUUCUCUAAAAGUUGGUUUCCACAUGGCAUGCAUAUUUGUCUUGCACAGGGAAGGAUCUACGUGGCCACGUGGCACCUAGUGAUUUCGGAAAAAACAUUGUAUAUAUGUGUAUAUAUGCAUAUUAAUUGCAUAUAUAUUAGUUUUCCCAUCUGUGCUGCGAAAUAGCUUAGCUGGUAAAGGAGGAGAUCACCCACCUAGGCUAUGCAGAUUUGAAUCUGGCCAUCAACACUUCCUUUUUGUCUUGCUCCUUUUUUUUCUUUACUUUUUUUUCUUUUCUUUUUUUCUAUACAUUCUUAUUUAUUUAUGACUAUUCUUUAUUAAUUCAAUUGACCCUUUUUUUUCCUUUUUUUUUUACAUUUGUUCUUAUUUAUUUAUUACUAUUUUUUAUUAAUUCAAAUUGACCCCUUUUCAUAAUUAAUUUUGAGUUUGUUUUAUUUUCUCUUGCACUAAUUAUUAAUCUCUUGAUAUGAGUAUAACGUGUUUAUUUUUUUAAUCAAUUAGUGAGUACAGAAUUAUGAGCAUCAAAUAAAUAUUAUGAAGAAUAUAUUUAAAUAGUAAUUUUAAAAAAAAACAUAAGUUUCAGAAAUUAUUUUUUUUAAUUUAAAGGUUCUUGCGAUCUUCAUCGACAUUUUUGCUAUAUAAAUGGCUAAACUGAAAGUACAAUUUUUAUUCUUUCUCAACUAUAUGCUUCCAAUAACACAUAAAGUCAAUGGAAGAUGAAUAUAUUAUGUUAAUACUAUUAGAUGGUUUAUACAAGCUCAAAUUUUAAUGUGAAAAAUCUUUUUUUUCUUAAAAGUUUCAGUGAAGACGACAUCAAAUUCCAAAAAAGAAAUAAAAUUGAAUUGUUUAGUUAUAUCUAAUCACAUAAUAUCUAAAAGAAAAUAUUAUUACAUGCAUUUUUGAUCGAUUCAUUUAUAAAAAUAAAUAAAAUUAAUAACCUGAGUUGUAACCCAAAAUUAAAGCAACCAUUCUUUCAUCUUACUUGAACGUGUGGCACCCCCGACCUCCAAAUCCUGGAUCCGCCUAUGAUCUUGCACUAUUACAAGUGAUAAAAGUCACUAAUUUAGCGGGCUCCACGUGAUAAUGACCAUUGUUUUACGAUAAGAGAAUCAAAAUGACAUAAAAAUGGAAAGGAGAGAAAAAAAAUGACGGAAGAAAAGACAAAAAUAAAAGAGAGAAAAUAAUGGAAGAAAAGAGAAACAGAAAAAAAAUGUAAUGACGGAAGAAGGAGUAUAAAGAAAUAAUGUAUUUUGUUAUGUGGAGUGAUAAAAAUAAUGUCAUUUACAGUAAGAGUACAUAUAAUUCCAUAGCUAUUAAGUCGUAACUAAUAUAUUAUAUUAUAUUAUUUAUGUAAAAUGACCCCUAAAUAAACUGUAUACAAUUUUUUAAGGUCAAAUACAUAUCGAUACAUGUUUUAUAUACCUAGAUACUUCUAUUUUACUACUUGAUACGUUAUAAUAGGGAGAUAGACGAGAAAAUAUAGGAGGGAGACGAGCGAUAUUUGUCUAUAUACCACAGAUACAUGUAAAUCAUACUUGAUACAUACACACUAGAUACAUGUACUUGUAUGUAUCUAAUGUGAUUUGCAUGUAUCUGUAUAUCAAACACGUGGGAAAGUGGCAAGCGAGAUUUGUCAAAUCUCAGAUCCAUGCAAAUCCACUUAGAGUAUCUAGAAUAAAUUACAUCUAAUUUUGACCUUUGGACAUAUUUGGACACACCAAAUUCUGAUAAGGUUCGUACUAUUGCAAAUUAACGUGUAUUUAAGUAAUUAACUUCUAGACUAAUACAAUUUCUAUAAAUUACUCUAAUUUAAUUAAUUGGUCAAUUCGUCCCAUUGUAGAGAUGUACUUAGGGGAGAGCCGUCAUUUUCACAAUACAAAGUAAAUAAAGUAUGUCCUUUCAAUUAGUGUAGGAUUUCAACUCUUAACGCAUAUCAAGUUUGUUGUCAAUCUGUGUUAAGAAAAUCAGAAAUUACUGGUUGUAAUAAAUUAUUCAGAAACACGAAGUAACAAAGAUUUUUAGAACCAGUAAAUAAGAUGAACAGAAAUUUAUUUGUAAAAAAUAAUUUAAUCUGUAAAACUUACCAAAAUCUUGAAUACUCUUUUUGAUAAUUUAGGAAGAAAAUCAAGUCCACUGAAUUCACAGUGUCCCCUUAAGGAAAUUAUUCCCCUCUAGUAUCUGAGGUUUGAUUUGGAAUAUAACCUCCCAGGGUAAAAUGAUCUUAAUCAGUAGAGUACAGAUACCAAAAACUCUAUUGUCAGCGAAUCAAUCCACAACAGGAAAGUACACGAAGAAAAAUGUGUUUUUUUAAGAAGAAGGAAGAUCAGAAAAUUUGUAAGUCAAUAUUCUGAAGACUGAAUGGUAUUUAUAGGCAAGAAUAAUAUAUUCUGAAAGGUUGCAACCCUUUCAGAAUUGACACAACCAUUAAUGAAAGGUUGCAAACUUUCAAAUGGUAUUGACUGUUCCUGAAAGUUGCUACCUUUCAGAAUAGUGGCGGGAAUUUUUUUAAAUAUAAUGGAAUUUAAAAUGGGUCACGCGCGUGGAUCCGAGUCGGGUCGGGUUAACUAAAAAGUUGAAAACAUUUCGGUUAAUUUCUGUUAUCAACUAAUUGAAAAUAAUUUUUUGCCAUUUAAUUAAUUAAAUAAAUAAUUAAAAUAAAUUUGUCCAAAAAAUUAUCUCUCGAUCGAUCAUUUGCCAAAGCCGAAGCCAAAGCCGAAGCCGAAGCGAGCGAGCGACGACGACGACGGCGAGAGGGGGUUCCCUCUUUCCAACCCUUUUAAUAAUUAAUAGGAGUGUUUAUUUAUUUAAACUCUCCUAUUUUUAUUUCCAUUACCGAUGAGGGACUAUUGCCUUUUUUAUUAAAGCAUUAGAGGACUUUUCAAGUUCCCAACCUUUCAAGUUCUAAACUUUUUCAAAUUCCUCUCCUUCCCUCUAUUUCCCAUCAAUUCUUGCUCCAUACCCAACAAUCCCCCACAUUGAUGGGGAAUAGUUAUAACAUAGGAAUGCACGGACAAUUGUGUACUUUACAAGCAAGGAUUAAUUGCAUCUGGAUAAGUAGGUUUCCCCUUGGACUUUUCAUAGUGAACAUAUGUCGGAUAUACUCGAUCAAUCGAUAGAUGUGAUAUCUUUGAACCGUCGAACUUUGGUGUAUACCUAGAAAACCAUAUGUCACACAAUUAACCCUUUACUGUUUAUGAUUCUUACGGUUGUGUUCGUUUCAGCCAUGAACACAUCCUAGUUUCAUGAGUGUAUAGAGAAUAGGCUUUUGACAUAAAAUUCUCUUUGAAGUGGCUUCCACUUCACACUCACAUAGGUGAUUUCUAACCGUGUCAUCUCGUAGAUACACUAUUUGGUCAAAUCUACCAAACUUAACAAAUCAUUAAAAACUUUAGCUUUAUUACCUCAUUAACAAGCCUUAAAGUUUUAACCUUUUCCUGAACAUUGUCUUCAUCAUGAGAAUGGAUUGAGUUAUGACAAUGUCGAACCGUCAGCCACAACUUUGUUUUUCUCCUUGAAUCUAGCUCUUGGGAUCUACAGUCCACUAGAUAGAGUUACCGUCAUGCUGACUUGUCCUAAGCCGUAAACCCAUUCCCUUAGAUGAUAUUUCAACUGUCUCUCUCACUAGGCCUUUCGUUAGUGGAUCUGACACAUUAUCGCUUGACUUUACAUAGUCAAUUGUGAUAAUUCCACUAGAGAGCAGUUGUCUUAUUGUGUUAUGUCUACAUCGAAUAUGACGAGACUUCCCGUUGUACAUAACGCUCCCUGCCCUACCUAUUGCUGCUUGACUAUCGCAAUGUAUGCAAAUUGGUCCAACAGGUUUGGGCCAGAAUGGAAUAUCCUCUAGGAAAUUCCGAAGCCAUUCCGCUUCUUCACCAGCCUUAUCCAAAGCAAUGAAUUCAGAUUCCAUUGUGGAGCGAGAAAUACAUGUCUGUUUGGAAGAUUUCCAAGAGACAGCUCCUCCACCAAGUAUGAAUACAUAACCACUCGUGGAUUUUACAUCAUUUGACCCGGUGAUCCAAUUUGCAUCACUAUAUCCUUCAAUCACAGCAGGAUAUUUAUUAUAAUGCAAAGCAUAAUGUUGUGUCCAUUUUAAAUAACCCAACACACGUUUCAUAGCCAUCCAGUGAGUUUGAUUCGGAUUACUAGUGUACCGACUCAGUUUACUAAUAGCACAUGCUAUAUCUGGUCGCGUGCAAUUCAUAAUAUACAUCAAACUUCCCAACACUCUGGCGUAUUCUAAUUAAGAGUCACUUUGACCUUCAUUCUUUUUAAAUGUACAACUUAAAUCAAUUGGAGUUUUGAGUAUAUUGAAAUUCAAGUAAUUGAACUUAUCCAAUACUUUUUCAAUAUAAUGAUAUUGAGAUAAUGCUAGUCCCUGGAGAGUUUUGAUAAUCCUGACCCCUAAGAUCAAAUCAGCAACUCCUAAGUCUUUCAUAUCGAACUUGCUGGACAACAUGCGCUUAGUAGCAUUUAUAUCGUCAAUUUCUUUACUCAUUAUUAACAUGUCAUCAACAUACAAACAAACAAUGACUUCAUGAUUCAUAACGUUUUUAAUGUAAAUACAUUUAUCACAUUCGUUAAUCUUGAAUCCAUUUGCCAACAUUACUUGAUCAAAUUUAGCAUGCCAUUGUUUGGGUGCUUGCUUGAGUCCAUAAAGUGACUUCACAAGUCUGAACACUUUCUUUUCUUUACCAGGAACUAUAAACCCUUAAGGUUGUUCCAUGUAAAUUUCUUCCUCUAACUCUCCAUUUAAGAAGGUUGUCUUUACAUCCAUUUGGUGGAUUUUAAUAUCAUGCACUGCUGCUAGUGCUAUUAACAUCCUAAUUGAUGUUAUCCUUGUUACUGGAGAGUAUGUGUCAAAGUAGUCCAGACCUUCCUUUUGUCUAUACCCUUUGACUACCAGUCUAGCCUUAUAUUUGUCAAUAGUCCCAUCAAGUUUCAUUUUCCUUUUAAAGAUCCAUUUUGAUCCUAAAGGUUUAUUUCCUGGAGGAAGAUCAGUCAAUUCCCAAGUGUGAUUGCUUAAAAUUGAGUCAAUCUCACUAUUGACUUCUUCUUUCCAAUAAGUUGACUCUGAUGAAGACAUAGCUGCUUUAAAGGUUUGAGGCUCAUUUUCAAGCAAUAGUGCUACAAAAUCUGGUCCAAAAGAAACAGAUUUUCGUUGUCGAGUACUUCGCCUAGGUUCCUCACUAGUUAGAAUAUUUUCCAUUGAUUCUUCUCGUGGUCGUUUAAGUCUUUCACUUGUUGACUCACUUUCAGUUUUAUACGGAUAAAUGUUUUCAAAAAACUCCGCAUUAUCUGAUUCAAUUAUCAUUAACAUGAAUCUCAGGAUUAUCAGAUUUGUGAACCAAAAAUCGACAGGCUUUACUAUUCACAGCAUACCCAAUAAAGACACAAUCUAUUGUUUUGGAUCCAAUUUUAACCCUCCUAGGUAAAAGAACCUCUACCUUGGCUAAACACCCCCACACUUUGAAAUAUUUCAAGUUGGGUUUUCUUCCUUUCCACAACUCAUAUGGAAUUGAUUGUGUUUUUCGAUGGGGUACUCUAUUGAGUAUUUUAUUAGCUGUAAGGAUGGCUUCCCCCCAAAGAUUUCGCGGUGAACCAGAAUUGAUCAUUAAGGCAUUCAUCAUUUCCUUUAAUGUUCUGUUCUUCCGUUCUGCCAUACCAUUUGACUGUGGUGUAUAAGGUGCAGUAGUUUGAUGAAUAAUACCAUAUUCCAAACAUAUCUCUGCAAAAGGAGAUUCAUAUUCUCCACCCCUAUCUCUCCGAAUCAUUUUUAUCUUUAGAUUCAAUUGGUUUUCCACUUCAUUUUUGUAUUGCUUAAAUGCAUCAAUUGUUUCAUCCUUACUAUUAAGCAAAUAUACAUAACAAAAUCGAGUGCAGUCAUCAAUAAAAGUUAUAAAAUACUUUUUCCACCACGAGAUGGUGUUGACUUCAUAUCGCAUAUAUCUGUGUGAAUUAAGUCUAAAGUUUUAGAAUUUCUUUCAAUAGACUUGUAAGGAUGUUUAACAAACUUACUUUCCACACAAAUUUCACAUUUCGACUUAUCGCAUUUAAAAUCAUUCAAUACUUCUAGAUUAACCAAUUUUCGCAAGGCUUUGUAAUUUACAUGUCCCAAACGGGCAUGCCAUAAAUCACUUAACUCCAAUAAGUAAACAGAAGCAGAAUUUUUAUUAAUACUGUCAAUAACCAUUACAUUUAGUUUGAAAAGACCCUCAUUGAGGUAGCCCUUUCCUAUAAACAUUUCAUUCUUACUUAUUACAGCUUUAUCACUAACUAGGACACACUUAAACCCGUUCUUAACGAGUAGUGCAGCAGAAACUAAAUUCUUCCUAAUAGUAGGAACAUGCAGAACAUUGUUUAAAGUCAACACUUUGUCGGAUGUCAUUUUCAGCAUUACUUUCCUAGUUCCUGCAAUCCUUGUUGUUGCUGUGUUUCCCAUGAAUAAAUCUUCAUCGUACUCAGUAGGAGUGUACAUUGCAAAGGCUUCUUUUGCAGAGAAAAUAUGUCUAAUAGCACCUGAGUCGAGAAACCACUCCUUGGGAUUUGCAACUAAGUUACACUCUGAUAUCAUUGCAUACAAGUCAUCUGCAUCUUCCAUCUUUUCCACGAUGUUUGCUUGAAUUUUUCCUUUGCCUUUGUUUUUGUCCUUUCUUGGAGCAUGACAAUCAGAAGAUCUAUGACCAGCCUUGCCACAAUUAUAACAGUUGCCUUUGAAUUUCUUCUUGGCCUGUUCUGACUUCUGCUCGUUGGACUUCUUUCUCUUUUUGUCUUUGGUAGGAGCUUCUUCAACAAUAUUAACUCCAAUUAUUGUUGAACUCUUACGUGACUUCUUUUCGGCAUUUCUGUUAUCUUUCUCAAUCUUGAGACGAAUCACAAGAUCUUCAAGCUUCAUUUCUUUACGCUUGUGCUUUACAUAAUUCUUGAAAUCAUUCCACGAAGGAGGCAACUUCUCGAUCAUUGCAGCCACUUGAAAAGCUUCAUUUACUACCAUAUCUUCAGCAAUCAGAUCAUGGAGAAUAUGUUGAAGUUCCUGCACUUGUGUUCCAACAAUUUUACUAUCUACCAUUUUAUAGUCUAAAAACUUUGCGACCACAAAUUUUUUCAAGCAUGCAUCUUCUGUCUUAUAUUUCUUCUCAAGUGCAUUCCACAACUCUUUUGAACUUGUUAUUGCACUAUAGACAUUAUAUAAGUCAUCCUCUAAAGCACUCAAAAUGUAACCUUUACAUAGGAAGUCUGACUGUUUCCAUGCUUCAACAAUCAUAAAUUUUUCCCUGUCUGGCAUAUCAUCAGCAGAUACUGGAGUAUCUUCACUUGUAAAUUUCUGCAGACCAAGAGUGGUAAGCCAGAAAAAUACUCGUUGCUGCCAUCUUUUGAAAUUCACACCUGUGAAUUUACCCGGUUUCUCUGCUUGUGAUACAAGAGUUCGGGUUGGAAGAAAAUGAUCUUAAUCAGUAGAGUAUAGAUAUCAAAAACUCUACUGUCAGCGAAUCAAUCCACAGCAGGAAAGUACACGAAGAAAAAUGUGUUUUUUUAAGAAGAAGGAAGAUCAGAAAAUUCGUAAGUCAAUAUUCUGAAGACUGAAUGGUAUUUAUAGGCAAGAAUAAUAUAUUUUGAAAGGUUGCAACCCUUUUAGAAUUGACACAACCAUUAAUGAAAGGUUGCAAACUUUCAAAUGGUAUUGACUAUUCCUGAAAGUUGCAACCUUUCAGAACAGUGGCGGGAAUUUUUUUAAAUAUAACGGAAUUUAAAAUGGGUCACGCGCGCGGAUCCGAGUCGGGUCAGAUUAACUAAAAAGUUGAAAACAUUUCGGUUAAUUUCUGUUAUCAACUGAUUAAUUGAAAUAAUUUUUGGCCAUUUAAUUAAUUAAAUAAAUAAUUAAAAUAAAUUUGUCCAAAAAAUUAUCUCUCGAUCGAUCAUUUGCCGAAGCCAAAGCCGAAGCGAGCGGCGACGACAACGGCGCGAGGGGGGUCCCUCUUUCCAACCCUUUUAAUAAUUAAUAGGAGCGUUUAUUUAUUUAAACUCUCCUAUUUUCAUUUCCAUUACCGAUGAGGGACUAUUGCCUUUUUUAUUAAAGCAUUAGAGGACUUUUCAAGUUCCCAACCUUUCAAGUUCUAAACUUUUUCAAAUUCCUCUCCUUCCCUCUAUUUCCCAUCAAUUCUUGCUACACACCUAACAAAGUUAACGUAAGUAUUUUGCUUGUAGAUAUGAUAUUUAAACUUUAGUCCGUUUCAAAAAUUAUAUAAGGUUUAUCUGAUUAUUUAGAGACGAGUUUGACACUUAAAAGUCAAAUGUCUAAAGUUAAUAGUAAAACGGCAAAAUUUUAUAAAAUUUGAUUGUUCUUUGAAUAACUUUCCUAAAAACGGUUAUUUGUGCACUUCAUCCAAAAUUAACUAAGAGAAGUUUCUACCGAUGUUAAAAUAAAUGAAAAUUAUAUUAUAUGAUUUGUAUAGAAGUCAUUACAUCCUUCAAACAAUUAUCAACUAAUUUAUGUCUAAGUUGUCCUUUGUUUGCUGAAAAUUCCCACAUCGUUUAAUCUAAAACAGGAAGUUGAAGUUCUAAUGUAAAUCAAAAUGCCUAAAAUUUUGUUAAAUGUAUCUUUGUUCAAUAAUUGUUUUUUAACGUGAUUGUAAUGAUACAUGCAUAUUGUUAACGUCUAUAAUAAGAAAUUAUAAGAUUUCUCAUUCAUACCUUGGUGAGUUUAGUGUUGGUAAACUUGUACAACAUAGUCAUUUAUAAUAAUAUCACAGAAGAGCAUGUAAAGCAUCUGCGUAAAGAUGUUAGUCAUAAGUCUAUUGAGUGAAAACUAAAUUAAGAAAACUUUUAUUUUUCAAUGUCAAUUGGAUUUCGAAAACUUUCAUCAUCAUAAUAUCUUACUCUUGAUAUACUUGAAUUUCAUCAUCAUAAUACCUUACUCUUGAUAUACUUGAAUUUCAUUUACAUAUUUCGGUUUUUUAAACCUGUAUAUCUAAAGUUGUCCCAAAAGUAGAUUGGAAAAGGCUCAAAAAUACACCUGAACUAUCAGAAAUAGCUCAGUAUACCCUUAAACUAAAUUCUGGCUCAAAAUAUCCUUCUGUUAAAGUAUUGGGUCACUUUUAUCCUUAUUUUUAACAGAGGUGUGUUAACUGCACCUGGACACCAGGUGGACGCCACAUAAGCAACAAAUAACCUCACCUCCACAUAGACUCAUAAGACCUUAAUAACGAAUUUUUCCCUCAUUUCUCUAAUAGAUAACAAUUUUCACCCAUUCUUAUUUCUCUAAAACAUAAUAUGAUUCCCCUUUCUUUCUCUUAUACGAUUUUCCCUCUCUCUUACACGAUUCCACCUAGGGUUUCACUACACUACUAUGCCUUAGUAAAAUGAGGUGUUUGUUUGAAGUAGUUGAAUAGGAAGAUCACUAUGAUUAAUUAGGACACUUGGUCUAUGCUGUUAAACCAUUCACAUUCAAAUGAUACUUUGUUUACAAAUAAGCAAAUUCACACCUAUUUUGCAAGUAUAAUGGAAACAAACGAUAAGCUUUCAAGUAUAAUAGAAAGAAACGAUAAGCUCUCUGCUCUCUUUGCUCGUUGGCUUCACAUCAACCGACAACAUAUUACACUAUUAUAUAUUAAGAUAAGAAAUCCCAACAGGGCUACGAAUUUGGAAAGAUACAUAUUUUAAUUUAACAGAAAGCAGUACUGGAAUAGCUCUUAACAACAUUACUAGACAGUAUUUGGAUCAAUGAGCUGUUUUUUGGACCAACACAUCUAGGGGUUUUGAACUGGCUCACCGCGCCUCCUAAUCCAACGAAAUGAUCCAAUAUCUUAUGAAAGGUUCCCCUCUUCACAAUCCUCAGUUCAAGUGCUCCAAUUGCAUUCACUUUCCUGGAGCUCACGUAGCCUGCAUCGAGGAACGAUUUGUCCAGACAGUUGCAGCACUCUUGCAAUAUUUCAUCAGUUGCUUCCCCACUCAGUUCCCAGAAGAUGACGUAGUGUCCUGGAUCAGCUGAGACGUUGACAUGGCUGGUGAAGUCCAUCACUUCUAGUUUUUCGUCAACUAAGUGCUUGCCUGCAGCUUCCACGGCUAGUUGCAAAUCUUUCUCAGUGUUCUUGUCUAUAUUAAUGCUCAGCAAAAGGUUCCUUCUGCAGACAAACUGGAGUUCUGGAGUGCCAUUGUGGAAUCCUUUUAUCUUGACAACAUCACCUAGUCUGUAACGAUAUAAACCUGCAUAUAUAAACACAUAACUCUCGUCAAUUAUACUUUCAGGACAUAUAGCUAAACUCGUAUUUGACGCAAUAGAUAGACCGAUAGGUAGGUAAUUUGAAUAAAUCUGUUAAGUGUAGUAGAUGUGGAACAACAAGACAGAAUCUGUUAAGUGUAGUAGAUGCAAGUAUUGCAGAAUAAAUGAGCACAACAGAACAUGGACAAAAAAUAUGUUAAUUCCAAAAUAAGGCAUAAAAACAAAUGAUAAAAUAUUUUCUAUAUAAGCAGAACUUAGUAUUUGAUGUCAGGCAGGCAUAUGUAAGUAAUCAUAUUUCCUGCAAUAUUGCCAUAAAGAACGAAUACUAAGUUGAGAGGAAUCGACUCAGUCAGCUGAAUUACAUGAAGUCACUAAGAUUAGUGCAGAACUCGUUAACCAUGAAAAAUAACUGAAUAAUAAGACUGUGUUCCUAUAAAUGAUCAACAAGCAUAGAAUUUUCAAGAAAAGACGUGCAAGAAAACUGUACCUGCGAAAUUGGUGAAGACAAUUUCAUACUCUUCACCAAGUUUAACUUCAGUCAGGCCAACUGAAGAAUUUGCUUGCUCCACGCCAAUGAGAUUUUCCUCGAGUGGAAGGAAUUCAAAAUAGCCAAUAUUUGGUAACACUGCAUAAGUAACCAUCUCAGGGGGGAAUUUCGGGUUAACAUUUACUCCGACCCAUCCUUCAGAAGAACCAUAAUCUGCACUCAAUAGAGGUAAUUCUCCUGCAUAGUGCCUCAGUUUCUUCAAGUAAGGCUCCAUCGAACCUGUCAUGAUACCAUAAAUGUACUUUGUAUUCGGGAAGAGUUCAGGAAUCAAGCCGUACCAAUUGCUUAAACUUGAACAUUUGCUAUAAAUUGUUUCAGCCAAUUCUGGAUCAGGCUUCAACAAUUUUGACAUGGCUAAUCUUAUGGAUGGUACAGUUACUCGGCUCGAUAAUACUCCCUCCCUUAUUUCAACAACAAGUUCUUCCCAUACUUGUUCGAAAGUUCGAAAAGCAUGGACAAUGCUAUGUGCAAACGUAGAUGAAACAACUUGAACUUCAUCGCGGAAAAUGAGACCAGACAGAAGGUGACAGUAUAAGGAUUGUUGAAAAUCAGGACCAAAUAUCACUUCAUCAGGACUACAA
rnacentral:lncRNA from 1 species